UACAGAGGGUGCAAGCGUUAAUCGGAAUUACUGGGCGUAAAGCGUGCGUAGACGGUUACGUAAGUCGGGUGUGAAAGCCCCGGGCUCAACCUGGGAAUUGCAUUCGAGACUGCAUAGCUAGGGUGCGGAAGAGGGAAGCGGAAUUUCCGGUGUAGCGGUGAAAUGCGUAGAUAUCGGAAGGAACAUCAGUGGCGAAAGCGGCUUCCUGGUCCAGCACCGACGUUCAGGCACGAAAGCGUGGGGAGCAAACAGG
rnacentral:rRNA from 1 species